rnacentral:rRNA from 1 species
AUUGAACGCUGGCGGCAUGCCUUACACAUGCAAGUCGAACGGCAGCGGGGGAGAAGCUUGCUUUUCCUGCCGGCGAGUGGCGAACGGGUGAGUAAUACAUCGGAACGUGCCCGGUGGGGGGGGAUAACUAGUCGAAAGAUUAGCUAAUACCGCAUACGACCUGAGGGUGAAGGUGGGGGACCGCAAGGCCUCAUGCUAUAGGAGCGGCCGAUGUCUGAUUAGCUAGUUGGUGGGGUAAAGGCCUACCAAGGCGACGAUCAGUAGCUGGUCUGAGAGGACGAUCAGCCACACUGGGACUGAGACACGGCCCAGACUCCUACGGGAGGCAGCAGUGGGGAAUUUUGGACAAUGGGCGAAAGCCUGAUCCAGCAAUGCCGCGUGUGUGAAGAAGGCCUUCGGGUUGUAGAGCACUUUUGUCCGGAAAGAAAUGGCUCUGGUUAAUACCUGGGGUCGAUGACGGUACCGGAAGAAUAAGGACCGGCUAACUACGUGCCAGCCGCCGCCGUAA